UGGGGAAUAUUGGACAAUGUGCGCAAGCCUGAUCCAGCCAUGCCGCGUUAGUGCUGAAGGCCCUAGGGUUGUAAAGCUCUUUCACCGGUGAAGAUAAUGACGGUAACCGGAGAAGAAGCCCCGGCUAACUUCGUGCCAGCAGCCGCGGUAAUACGAAGGGGGCUAGCGUUGUUCGGAUUUACUGGGCGUAAAGCGCACGUAGGCGGACUUUUAAGUCAGGGGUGAAAUCCCGGGGCUCAACCCCGGAACUGCCUUUGAUACUGGAAGUCUUGAAUAUGGUAGAGGUGAGUGGAAUUCCGAGUGUAGAGGUGAAAUUCGUAGAUAUUCGGAGGAACACCAGUGGCGAAGGCGGCUCACUGGACCAUUACUGACGCUGAGGUGCGAAAGCGUGGGGAGCAAACAGG
rnacentral:rRNA from 1 species